GUCUGAAUAGUUCUGUUGGUUACAGCAUGGUGCUGUUAAUACCAAGGUUGCAGGUUUGAUCACUGCAUGGGACA